rnacentral:rRNA from 1 species
UACGAAGGGGGCUAGCGUUGCUCGGAAUCAUUGGGCGUAAAGGGUGCGUAGGCGGCGCGGUAAGUCGGGUGUGAAAUUUCGAGGCUUAACUUCGAAACUGCAUUCGAUACUGCCGUGCUUGAGGACUGGAGAGGAGACUGGAAUUUACGGUGUAGCGGUGAAAUGCGUAGAUAUCGUAAGGAAGACCAGUGGCGAAGGCGGGUCUCUGGACAGUUCCUGACGCUGAGGCACGAAGGUCAGGGGAGCAAACGGGG